rnacentral:rRNA from 1 species
AGAGUUUGAUCCUGGCUCAGAAUGAACGCUGGCGGCGUGCUUAACACAUGCAAGUCGAGCGAGAAAGCGGCUUCGGCCGUGAGUACAGCGGCGAACGGGUGAGUAACACGUGGAUAACCUGCCCGGUAGUGGGGAAUAACUCGAGGAAACUUGGGCUAAUACCGCAUACGACCUCGCGCCUCUGGUCGCGAGGGGAAAGGAGGCCUCUGCACGCAAGCUUCCGCUAUCGGAGGGGUCCGCGGCCGAUUAGCUUGUUGGUGGGGUAACGGCCCACCAAGGCGACGAUCGGUAGCCGGCCUGAGAGGGUGAUCGGCCACACUGGAACUGAGACACGGUCCAGACUCCUACGGGAGGCAGCAGUGGGGAAUAUUGCGCAAUGGGCGAAAGCCUGACGCAGCAACGCCGCGUGGGGGACGAAGGCCUUCGGGUCGUAAACUCCUGUCGGGGGGGACGAAACAGCAUCGGAUAAUACCCGAUGCCACUGACGGUACCUCCAGAGGAAGCCCCGGCUAACUCCGUGCCAGCAGCCGCGGUAAUACGGAGGGGGCGAGCGUUAUUCGGAUUUAUUGGGCGUAAAGGGCGCGUAGGCGGCUUGCAAGUCAAAGGUGAAAUCCCUCGGCUCAACCGAGGAACUGCCUUUGAAACUGCUUGGCUCGAGGCCGGGAGGGGGUAGUGUAAUUCCCAGUGUAGCGGUGAAAUGCGUAGAUAUUGGGAGGAACAMCGGKYGGCGAAASGMRGCUACCUGGAYCGGCUUSURACGCUGAUGUGSGAAAGCRUGGUGAGCAAACAGGAUUAGAUASCCUGGUAGUYCACGCUGUAAACGAUGGRUACUCGGUGSCGCGGGUAUCGAUCCCCUGCGGUGCGUUAGCUAACGCGCUAAGUACGUCGCCUGGGGAGUACGGUCGCAAGCAUGAAACUCAAAGGAAUUGACGGGGGCCCGCACAAGCGAUGGAGCAUGUGGUUUAAUUAGAUGCAACGAGAAGGACGUUACCUGGCUGUGAACUGCGUCUGACAGAUCUAGAAAUAGGGUGUGCGCUUCGUCGGUCGCCGCAGAGGUGCUGCAUGACUGUCGUCAGCUCGUGUCGUGAGAUGAUGGGGUAAGUACCGCAACGAGCGCAACCCCUAUCGUUAGUUGCCAGCGGGUAAUACCGGGAACUUUAAGGAGACUGCCCCGGAAAUCGGGGAGGAAGGUGGGGAUGACGUCAAGUCCUCAUGGCCUUUAUGUCCAGGGCUACACACGUGCUACAAUGGGCGGCACAAAGGGUUGCGAAACCGUGAGGUAGAGCUAAUCCCAAAAAACCGUCCUCAGUUCGGAUUGCAGUCUGCAACUCGACUGCAUGAAGGUGGAAUCGCUAGUAAUCCCAGAUCAGAAUGCUGGGGUGAAUACGUUCCCGGGCCUUGUACACACCGCCCGUCACAUCACGAAAGUCGGCUGUACCGGAAGUCGGUGAGCUACCCCGCAAGGGGGGCAGCUGCCCAUGGUAUGGUCGUCGAUUGGGGUGAAGUCGUAACACGGUAGCUGUAGGAGAACCUGUGGCUGGAUCACCUCUUUA